rnacentral:tRNA from 1 species
CAGACUAGAGCUUGAUUAAGUAUUUUAUUUACACUAAAAGGAUAAUUGUAGAAUACAAUUUGGUUUGA